GAGGAAGAAAGCAGCCGCCGUGUGGAGCCGCCCAGAGACUGGCACUCACCUGUGUCACUGUGCGGGGAGGGCAGGGUCUCGCCAGCAGCCGGUGGCACAUGCGGGCGGCACGGGGGCUGCGUGGUGGCCUCUGUGAUGUCACCUGGCAGAGGUGCCUGAGCUGGGCCCGGCGUGGAGGGCAUAGGCCUCACUCUCUGACUGCCUGACAGUCCCUACAGGUCGACCAGGGAGCACAGAGCCCUGAACAUCCCUUCAACAGCGCGCCACACGCUCCUGGCACAAACUCCAGACCACGGCACAGCACCCAGAUGGCUGCAGCCACGCAGAAACCCACAACUGCCAGGACCGUGGGGUGACAGCCACGGUGGGCUCUGCAGGCCCCUCUGGUCUAAGACACCAGGAGGCCACAUCCAGCAACCAAGGCCACCCGGCAGGACACGUCAGGAUGGAGGUGCAGUGAAGACUGCGGUGGACGCCUCCAGAGGUUCCCACUUGGCUUCCAGUGGAGCCUCUGCCAAACCCGGCCUGUGCAAGGGCAGAGACAAGGCCCAGCAGGGCUCGAGCAGGCCCAAACGCACGACGCAGCUGCUGUGCCUGGGUCUGAGCUGCACCCACAGUUUUCCUGGCGUCUUGUCCUCUGGAUGGGCCUCUGGAUGAACAUAAACUCCAGGGAAGCUGCAUAGAAUAUGCAGCUCUUCUUUAACGCUCCCUAGAGGAAGAAAGCCCCUCAGCCGGAAGUAUUGUUGACGUCGCCGCCACUACUAAUGAAAUAUUUACUGAAAAGCCAAAGCGAAACAUUUUUCUAGUUAAUUAAAACAGUGCAUCUUUCAAGCAAGCUCCCUCGAGGGGCCAGGCUCGGACGGACCCAGCGGGCAGGCAACCCGAGGUGCUCCUGAGUGGGGUCUCGACUGGGAAGGGGGCGCCCAGGACGCAGGUGGGGUUCCUGCCACACGACACUGAGGGGUGGGGGGACAGACGCUGCAGAGACCCUGCGAAAGGCCCCUCCCGAUGGGUAAACUCACACUUGGUACACGCUGGCAGGGGCAUCUGGGCCUGCACUCUGGAAUUGGUGGUGGUCCUGGGAAGGUUUUUUGGGCCAGGGACAAGAGUACUUGGGUUUGCUUUCUGGAAAAAUGAAAAAAGAGAAGUUUCUGUGUUCUCUCAGCUGUGUUAAA
rnacentral:lncRNA from 1 species